AAUUUUGGACAAUGGGGGAAACCCUGAUCCAGCAAUCCCGCGUGUAUGAUUAAGGCCUAAGGGUUNUAAAGUACUUUUGGCAGAGANAAAAAGGUAUCUCCUAAUACGAGAUACUGUUGACGGUAUCUGCAGAUUAAGCACCGGCUAACUACGUGCCAGCAGCCGCGGUAAUACGUAGGGUGCAAGCGUUAAUCGGAAUUACUGGGCGUAACGCGUGUGUAGGCGGUUCGGAAAGAAAGAUGUGAAAUCCAAGGGCUCAACCUUGGAACUGCAUUUUUAACUGCCGAGCUAGAGUAUGUCAGAGGGGGGUAGAAUUCCACGUGUAGCAGUGAAAUGCGUAGAUAUGUGGAGGAAUACCGAUGGCGAAGGCAGCCCCCUGGGAUAAUACUGACGCUCAGACACGAAAGCGUGGGGAGCAAACAGG
rnacentral:rRNA from 1 species